UUUUAAGGAUGUACUUAGGUGAGGUUUUGGAAUUUGUGUCAAAUGUUCGGACUCCUUGGUGUUUUUCCAUUCAAUACAAUGUAAAAUAUUUUGCCCCAUAACACCCAUUAAUUUUUUCAUAUAAGACUUAAUAGCUCAUGAAAGGUCAUUAACCAAAAUUUUAGAUGAUUCUUGAUUUUCUUUCUUUUGUUUUGAGACCUAAAUAAUACCAAUGCAAAUAUAAAGUUAAAGUCCGAGUCAGCCUUUUCCCGCCAUAUUUUAAAUCUCAAAUAUCUCGAAAAGGAGCUCCAUGACCUAUUAAUAUUUUUAGCUUAACUUUAUCCUUAGUUGAUGCUCUAUCAGCUUAUAGUAUCAAUUGUAAUUUUUUAAUUUCUUAAUUUUUACCUUACCUCACCUAAGUACAUCCUUAAG
rnacentral:lncRNA from 1 species